rnacentral:rRNA from 1 species
GACGAACGCUGGCGGCGUGCUUAACACAUGCAAGUCGAACGCUGAAGCUCAGCUUUUGUUGGGUGGAUGAGUGGCGAACGGGUGAGUAACACGUGAGUAACCUGCCCCCUUCUUUGGGAUAACGCCCGGAAACGGGUGCUAAUACUGGAUAUUCACUGGUCUUCGCAUGGGGGUUGGUGGAAAGGGUUUUUCUGGUGGGGGAUGGGCCCGCGGCCUAUCAGCUUGUUGGUGGGGUGAUGGCCUACCAAGGCUUUGACGGGUAGCCGGCCUGAGAGGGUGACCGGUCACAGUGGGACUGAGGUACGGCCCAGACUCCUACGGGAGGCAGCAGUGGGGAAUAUUGCACAAUGGGCGCAAGCCUGAUGCAGCGACGCCGCGUGAGGGAUGGAGGCCUUCGGGUUGUGAACCUCUUUCGCUCAUGGUCAAGCCGCAACAAUGGUUGUGGUGAGGGUAGUGGGUAAAGAAGCGCCGGCUAACUACGUG